CCUUAUUGAGAGCGGCUGAGGGAAUAGGCCCUGCGAAGCCCGGCAACCUAUGUGCCAUGUGAGAGAUCAUGCAUGAAAGGUGCUAAAUCCUACAGAAUACUAUUUCUGAAAGAUGAGG
rnacentral:ncRNA from 1 species